rnacentral:rRNA from 1 species
AUUGAACGCUGGCGGCAGCCUAACGCAUGCAAGUCGAACGGUAACAGGAAGCAGCUUGCUGCUUCGCUGACGAGUGGCGGACGGGUGAGUAAUGUCUGGGAAACUGCCCGAUGGAGGGGGAUAACUACUGGAAACGGUAGCUAAUACCGCAUAACGUCGCAAGACCAAAGAGGGGGACCUUCGGGCCUCUUGCCAUCGGAUGUGCCCAGAUGGGAUUAGCUUGUUGGUGAGGUAACGGCUCACCAAGGAGACGAUCCCUAGCUGGUCUGAGGGGAUGACCAGCCACACUGGAAGUGAGACACGGACCAGACUCCGACGGGAGGAAGCAGGGGGGAAUAGUGCUCAAUGGGCGCAAGCCUGAUGCAGCCAUGCCGCGUGUAUGAAGAAGGCGUUCGGGUUGUAAAGUACUUUCAGCGGGGAGGAAGGGGUUGUGGUUAAUAACCGCAGCAAUUGACGUUACCCGCAGAAGAAGCACCGGCUAACUCCGUGCCAGCAGCCGCCGUAA